rnacentral:rRNA from 1 species
CAGUAGCCGCGGGAAUACGGAGGGCGCGAGCGUUACCCGGAUUCACUGGGCGUAAAGGGCGUGUAGGCGGCCUGGGGCGUCCCAUGUGAAAGGCCACGGCUCAACCGUGGAGGAGCGUGGGAUACGCUCAGGCUGGAGGGUGGGAGAGGGUGGUGGAAUUCCCGGAGUAGCGGUGAAAUGCGCAGAUACCGGGAGGAACGCCGAUGGCGAAGGCAGCCACCUGGUCCACUUCUGACGCUGAGGCGCGAAAGCGUGAGGAGCAAACCGGAUUAGAUACCCCGGUAGUCCCUGUCUCUUAUAC